AUUAUGAGAGUUUGAUCCUGGCUCAGGACGAACGCUGGCGGCGUGCCUAAUACAUGCAAGUCGAACGCUUCUUUCCUCCCGAGUGCUUGCACUCAAUUGGAAAGAGGAGUGGCGGACGGGUGAGUAACACGUGGGUAACCUACCCAUCAGAGGGGGAUAACACUUGGAAACAGGUGCUAAUACCGCAUAACAGUUUAUGCCGCAUGGCAUAAGAGUGAAAGGCGCUUUCGGGUGUCGCUGAUGGAUGGACCCGCGGUGCAUUAGCUAGUUGGUGAGGUAACGGCUCACCAAGGCCACGAUGCAUAGCCGACCUGAGAGGGUGAUCGGCCACACUGGGACUGAGACACGGCCCAGACUCCUACGGGAGGCAGCAGUAGGGAAUCUUCGGCAAUGGACGAAAGUCUGACCGAGCAACGCCGCGUGAGUGAAGAAGGUUUUCGGAUCGUAAAACUCUGUUGUUAGAGAAGAACAAGGACGUUAGUAACUGAACGUCCCCUGACGGUAUCUAACCAGAAAGCCACGGCUAACUACGUGCCAGCAGCCGCGGUAAUACGUAGGUGGCAAGCGUUGUCCGGAUUUAUUGGGCGUAAAGCGAGCGCAGGCGGUUUCUUAAGUCUGAUGUGAAAGCCCCCGGCUCAACCGGGGAGGGUCAUUGGAAACUGGGAGACUUGAGUGCAGAAGAGGAGAGUGGAAUUCCAUGUGUAGCGGUGAAAUGCGUAGAUAUAUGGAGGAACACCAGUGGCGAAGGCGGCUCUCUGGUCUGUAACUGACGCUGAGGCUCGAAAGCGUGGGGAGCAAACA
rnacentral:rRNA from 1 species